UUUUACUUUUUCAUACACAUCCCAAUCAAUUGAUAGAAAGCAAAAGAUCCAUUUAUGGCACGUAGACCUCUCAGCAGUAAGGCUGCUAGGUGUACCUUCUUCUCUAUGCUAGCGUUUCUUUGAUGGUCUGCCCACUAAGGGCAAGCAGCGGUUGAAGCGGGCAUUGGCUUUUUGAUAAGCUACUUCCCUUCUUCCGGUCUUUGCAUCUAUUUCCGCAAGAGAGGUUCUUUCUUUAAUUUGAUGGCCCACUGCGGACAGUUGGUAAGCAGGCUAAGACAGUCUCCCUUGUGGGUAGAACUAGCCUACUAUAAGCCUAAAGCAGAUAGAUGAGCCGAUCUGCUACAAUUGUCACUCAAUUUGAUCAAAGAAAAUAGAAUCAUAUGUAAUCCAGAGCUUGCAAGGGAUUCUUGCCUUGUCCAUUCAAUCACUAAUUUCGUAGAAAGCUGAACUCUAUAAAGGUACUCUUGGAUAGCUUUACCUUCCUAUGAAAGAGUUGAGAUGUAAGGGAGAAAGAAAUGUGUCCAAAUUGAGCUUUACAGUACUCAACUUGUCCUUUUGAACGAAAGUAGGAGAUGCAAUACCAUGUCUGACUUUAAAUCUUAGGAACUAAGGUGAGAUAGGGCCAUCACAGCUUAAUCUCUCACUCGAAACUCCAAAUGAACGAAUUUUCAUUUUAUCUUCUCAGGCAUUCCUUUUACUCACUUUCAACGGUAGAUUCGUUCUCCCUUUCUACAUUCGUUUGUACUUUU
rnacentral:lncRNA from 1 species